AUGCUACCAUGCUACAGCACCAUGCUACAGCACCAUGCUACCAUUAUACAGCACCAUUCUAUAGCACCAUUCUACAGCACCAUGCAACAGCACCAUGCUACCAUGCUACAGCAACAAGCUACCAUUCUACAGCACCAUGCUACAGCACAGUACUACAGCACCUUUCGACAGUGCUACAGCAACAUGCUACAGCCCCAUGCUACCAUGUUACAGCACCAUGUUAAAACACCAUUCUACCAUGCUACAGUACCAUUCUACAGCACCAUGCUACAGCACAUACUACCAUGUUACAGCACCAUGCUACCAUGCUACCAUGAUACAGCACCAUGCUACCAUUCUACAGCACCAUUCUACCAUUCUACAGCACCAUGCUACCAUGCUACAGCACAAUGCCACCAUUCUACAGCACCAUGCUACAGCACCAUAGCACCAUGCCACCAUGCUACAUCACCAUUCUACAGGACCAUUCUACCGCACCAUGCCACUAUGGUACAGUGCCAUUCUACAGCACCAUGCUACAGCACCAUAGCAACAUGCUACAUCACCAUUCUGCAGGACCAUACUACAGCACCAUGCCACCAUGCUGCAGUGCCAUGCUACAGCACCAUGCUACAGCAUCAUUCUACAGCACAAUUCUACAGUACCACACUACCAUGCUACAGCAACAUGCUACAGCAACAUUCUACAGCACCAUUGCAGAUGGAAAGAAAACGAAAGACAGAUCAAAAUAAUGAGCACCGUAAGUGGUGGGAGCAGGAAGAGGGGGCAGCCAAUCAAAAAACAGGAUUAUGCCUACUGAUUAUGCCUACUAUUAUACCUAAUCUCUCAGAGAUUGGGUAAUAGGCAAGGAACAAACCAUCCAAUCAGAUUCAUUUUAAACAAAGAUAGCUAAUCAUCCAAUGAAAUGUGGGUCACCAAACCAUUUUUAUUCACAUAUUUUUAUAGUCUGGAAAAGUUAAUGAUAUGGAUUCUGGCCCAUUGUUGAGUCCAAAAAGAAUAUGAGUCCCACUGAAGUAUUAAUACACAGAGAGUGUCUCCUGUAAUGAUAAUGGCAUGUGUCGUGCAUAAAAGCAGUAAGAACAAUAGCUCAAUCAUUUCUAUGGCACAGGGAGAUAUGAUUUUGGUCUGUUAUGUUCCACUGAGUGUUCUAUGAGCGGUCUCUCUGGUCUCCCAUUGGUCAGAGCCAGGUUCUACC
rnacentral:lncRNA from 13 species